AUUGAACGCUGGCGGCAGGCCUAACACAUGCAAGUCGAACGAGUGGCGGACGGGUGAGUAAUGUCUGGGAAACUGCCUGAUGGAGGGGGAUAACUACUGGAAACGGUAGCUAAUACCGCAUACCAUUGGAUGUGCCCAGAUGGGAUUUGCUAUUAGGUGGGGUAACGGCGCACCCAGGCGACGAUCCCUAGCUGGUCUGAGAGGAUGACCGGCCACACUGGAACUGGGACACGGUCCAGACUCCUACGGGAGGCAGCAGUGGGGAAUAUUGCGCAAUGGGCGCAAGCCUGAUGCAGCCAUGCCGCGUGUAUGAAGAAGGCCUUCAGGUUGUAAAGUACUUUCAGCGGGGAGGCGUUAGCGGGAGAAGAAGCACCGGCUAACUCCGUGCCAGCAGCCGCGGUAAUAG
rnacentral:rRNA from 1 species